rnacentral:misc_RNA from 1 species
GGCUCUCUCUUCCACCCAUCUCCUUAAGCUGUACAGUUGCAGCAGUUACAGUGUCAAGUAUGGUACUGGUAGUAUAGCUGUUUGACUGCAGCCUUAUGCGCCUUGGUUCAAUGUCCACAAAGCUCUUAGACCAAAAAGUGUAGAUAGAAGGAUCUGUUACUUCCCAUCGUGUCACAGUCUCAAGGGGGUAGAUUCUCAAUGUCCUGCUAGUGCUCGGGUCAAGCAUGCGGAU